rnacentral:rRNA from 1 species
UACGGAGGGAGCUAGCGUUGUUCGGAAUUACUGGGCGUAAAGGGUGCGUAGGCGGCGUGGUAAGUCGGGUGUGAAAUCUCGGAGCUUAACUCCGAAACUGCAUUCGAUACUGCCGUGCUUGAGGACUGGAGAGGAGACUGGAAUUUACGGUGUAGCGGUGAAAUGCGUAGAUAUCGUAAGGAAGACCAGUGGCGAAGGCGGGUCUCUGGACAGUUCCUGACGCUGAGGCACGAAGGCCAGGGGAGCAAACGGG